UUCAGCUCCAGUUUCAAUAAUUUUACUCCUCUUGAUUCCGUCGUCCAGGAAAUGGUGCCGUUCAGGUUCACUCUAGACCACUUCAGAGGAUGUCUGUCGACUAAAGCAGCAGUUCAGCUAGAGCUUGGCAGAGCAGCUCAACAAAUGCGACACUCGCACUUCGAUGGCCAUCGCUCUGCUCGAUCCCUACGACCAUCCGCUGGCGCCGCUGGAAAAUAUCAAAAUGAAAUCAGUGGUGCGUGUUCAGUACAAGCCACCAAGUCCAUCAUCAGCGGCCUGUCCUCUGCCAAUGGCCUCCCCAAGACUGUCCAUCGCCUCAACCGGCGACGGUGCAGGCUUGCUGAGGCUCAUAACGGCCCUGGCGCCUCGCGAUCUCAGGUUUGAAGCCAUCUCGCUGGAGCGCUGCUCGUCGAGCGCCGUGUUCCUCCAGCAGCUCGUCGACGACCUCCGCAGCCGCGGCGUUCACACCAACUCUGGCACGCGGUCUGGCGUCGAAAAAAUCAACUUCAAUCACGGAUUGUGCUCGGGAUGCAACGGUCGUGUGCACAUGGAGGGAGAGAGUUGCUAUACGUUACACGUCAGGGCGUCGUGAAUACCGGGCUCUACACGCCUGGUGCUGGUGCAUGAAUAUAUAGCAUAUAACUAUAAGUUAAAAAUAUUUAGAGGAAAAUUUUCC